ensembl:snoRNA SNORD18 Small nucleolar RNA SNORD18
GUUAUAUGAUGAGAUAAACUUCAGGUCCGUGUUUCUGAAACCCAAUGAAAACAAAUGAAGUUCUGAAAGU